rnacentral:rRNA from 1 species
UACGGAGGGGGCGAGCGUUGUUCGGAGUUACUGGGCGUAAAGCGUGCGCAGGCGGCCCGUUAAGACAGGUGUGAAAUCCCUGGGCUCAACCUAGGAAUUGCGCUUGUGACUGGCGGGCUCGAGUACGGUAGAGGGGGGUGGAAUUCCUGGUGUAGCAGUGAAAUGCGUAGAGAUCAGGAGGAACACCGAUGGCGAAGGCAGCCCCCUGGGCCUGUACUGACGCUCAUGCACGAAAGCGUGGGGAGCAAACAGG